rnacentral:misc_RNA from 1 species
UCAAAGUCAACCUGGAAGGUACUUAAGCUUGUAGCUUGUUAUUGAAUGGUUUGUUGUUUUGCUAUUCCUUCUAAAAUUUUGGAGGAUUAUGCUUUUCCAAAGGAAAAAUGUUGAUGUUUAAUGUGAGGCAUGGAGCACAUAAUAUAUGGAUGAAAUUCUUUCAAAUCAAUUAAAUGGAAUAGUUUUAAUAGAGUUUUGCACAUAAUAUAUAGAUGAAAUUCUUUCAAAUCAAUUAAAUGGAAUAGUUUUAAUAGAGUUUUGCACAUAAUAUAUA